UUUACACACGCGUACAGAUAUGGUCGCGUGCCAUCGCAAGAAAUCUGUGGUAGUGGUGGAUAUCUAGAGUAUCGACUGGAGAAUGUAGUGCACUAAUAUUAGAAUUUCAACCAGAGAUAUCCUUCAUUGAUUAUUAGGCUUGAUAGCUUUUAAAGAAAUAGAACGGAAAUAUAGGGUUGAGAAAAAGAAAAAGAAAGAGACACACCCCUUGAAAAAGAAAUGUCUGUGAUUCUCUCUGUCAUCAUAAGAUGGGAAUGAGUCAUAGGGAUAAUACGUGUUGCGGUCUCGAUAAUGUCAAGAAUACUCCGAAUAAGGAGACUACGAGCUUCUCGAGUUUCGAAGGAAAUUAUAUUGGUUUGCUCGCUUGAACGCUUCGUAUACGAAUAUAUAAUUAAAUAAUAAUGUAUUGGAAAAAAUAUAAUUCAUAUGCAGCGUAAACAAUUAUAUAAUUACAAUGAAAGCAACAUGGGAGAUUAAAAAAAGCAUCAAUAUUCAUAUAAUUAAUGACUUAUUCCAUAAAAAAAAAAAAUAUAUAAUUUAAGCAAUAAAUGCAUAAUGGUUAGUGUGUUAGAUUAAUGCGCAGUUUAUAUAUUCUACUUUCUAAAUGCAUCUGUUUUCCAUGAAAAAUUGAUCCAUCAUAUUCUGUCCGCGAUUUGUUUUCAAAUAUUUAAUCAAAUCAAAAGCAAACAUUUAUACGAUAACUUGGUUUUUUAAUCAAACGCAGAAAUUGUAAUUAAAUAUAAUUAUGACAUAAUAAAGUAAAUUUAUACUU